rnacentral:rRNA from 1 species
CCUACGGGUGGCAGCAGUGAGGAAUAUUGGUCAAUGGACGCAAGUCUGAACCAGCCAUGCCGCGUGAAGGAAGACGGCUCUAUGAGUUGUAAACUGCUUUUGUACGAGGGUAAACUCAGAUACGCGUAUCUGUCUGAAAGUAUCGUACGAAUAAGGAUCGGCUAACUCCGUGCCAGCAGCCGCGGUAAUACGGAGGAUUCAAGCGUUAUCCGGAUUUAUUGGGUUUAAAGGGUGCGUAGGCGGUCGGAUAAGUUAGAGGUGAAAUCUCGAGGCUCAACUUCGGAAUUGCCUCUGAUACUGUUAGGCUAGAGAGUAGUUGCGGUAGGCGGAAUGUAUGGUGUAGCGGUGAAAUGCUUAGAGAUCAUACAGAACACCGAUUGCGAAGGCAGCUUACCAAGCUACUUCUGACGUUGAGGCACGAAAGCGUGGGGAGCAAACAGGAUUAGAUACCCCAGUAGUC